UGAUUCCCCUAGUUGCAAGGGUAC
rnacentral:piRNA from 1 species